GACAGAGGUGCCGAGCGUUAGGCGGAAUCACUGGGCUUAAAGCGUGUGUAGGCGGAUUUGUAAGUACCUUGUGAAAUCCCUCGGCUUAACCGAGGAACUGCCUGUCAGACUGGAAGGCUUGAGACCGGGAGAGGUGAGUGGAAUUCCCAGGUGUAGCGGUGAAAUGCGUAGAUAUUGGGAGGAACACCAGUGGCGAAGGCGGACUCACUGGACCGGAACUGACGCUGGAGGCGCGAAAGCGUGGGGAGCAAACAGG
rnacentral:rRNA from 1 species